GGGCCAGUAGCUCAGAGGCAGAGCACCUCAUUUGCAAUGAGGGGGUCGCGGGUUCGAUUCCCGCCUGGUCCACCA
rnacentral:tRNA from 1 species